GGAUGCGAUCAUACCAGCACUAAAGCACCGGAUCCCAUCAGAACUCCGAAGUUAAGCGUGCUUGGCCGAGAGUAGUACUAGGAUGGGUGACCUCCUGGGAAGUCCUCGUGUUGCAUUCCC
rnacentral:rRNA from 1 species